rnacentral:lncRNA from 10 species
AACAAAGGGUUGGGACACAAAGUCAUUCUCAGAAGAAGGAAAGCCUGGAAGGCAAGCCGUGGGGCAGCAGCAUGAAAGAAAGGAAGUCCCUGGGCAUGGGAGGGAAAACACCCAUUUAGACAAAGAAGUGACCUUGGGCUUCUCUUUCUUGGUAGAAGAAGGGCUGUGUGGUCUGUAGCAAGUCAGUGAGGGUUGGAACCCCUACAUCUGCUCCCAGCCUAUUCAUUCCAGUGAUUUCUGCCAUUUUGGUCAAGGACACCACUGUCUCUUGGUGUCCCAGGCUAGAAAGCCGCGUCAUUUUUGUGGUGUGUCCUUCAGUCCAUAAUGAACAAACUUGUACUGAGGGUCAAUGGGCUGUCCAUAAUGAACAAACUUGUACUGAGGGUCAAUGGGCUGUGCACUGUAUUGAGUACUUUAUAUAUAUUUUUUGCAUUUAAUCCUCAUAAUAAUCUCAUGAGAUGUGUUUCAUUGCUCUUAUUUUACAAAUGAUGAAAUUUAUGCUAACUGAGAUGUAGUAAUGAACCCAAACUGAAGCUAAUGUGCCUGAUGCCAGCCGCCACAUUCUUUUCAUACCUCAUGCUGCUGCUAUCUUUCAACAGACUUCCUGGUGCUGGGUCUCCUUGUUCUCUCUUUAGUGUGACCGAGAGGCCAGAUGACCACGUAUAUGCCUAAGAGGAGAAGCUGCCACCUGUUGCUGUAAAUCUG